rnacentral:rRNA from 1 species
UACGAAGGGGGCUAGCGUUGCUCGGAAUCACUGGGCGUAAAGCGCACGUAGGCGGAUUGCUAAGUCAGGGGUGAAAUCCUGGAGCUCAACUCCAGAACUGCCUUUGAUACUGGCGAUCUUGAGUCCGGGAGAGGUGAGUGGAACUGCGAGUGUAGAGGUGAAAUUCGUAGAUAUUCGCAAGAACACCAGUGGCGAAGGCGGCUCACUGGCCCGGUUCUGACGCUGAGACGCGAAAGCGUGGGGAGCGAACAGG